UACAUCCUGCGAUGUUCGUUACGGCUUAUACGUUGUUUUGAACCAAUGGCUGUUUCUAGGGAGACCCAUAUUGAAGCGCGGCUGUCAUGCCCUCGAAAGGGGACUUCAAAAACGCUUCUGCGAUCACCCACCUGCGAGAGCGGGUUCAGAAACAAGAUAGCCGGACGGCAUAGGCGGGUUUCUU
rfam:Paenibacillus darwinianus strain Br genomic scaffold scaffold37, whole genome shotgun sequence.